rnacentral:rRNA from 1 species
GACGAACGCUGGCGGCGUGCUUAACACAUGCAAGUCGAACGGAAAGGCCCUGCUUUUGUGGGGUGCUCGAGUGGCGAACGGGGGAGUAACACGUGAGUAACCUGCCCUUGACUUUGGGAUAACUUCAGGAAACUGGGGCUAAUACCGGAUAGGAGCUCCUGCUGCAUGGUGGGGGUUGGAAAGUUUCGGCGGUUGGGGAUGGACUCGCGGCUUAUCAGCUUGUUGGUGGGGUAGUGGCUUACCAAGGCUUUGACGGGUAGCCGGCCUGAGAGGGUGACCGGCCACAUUGGGACUGAGAUACGGCCCAGACUCCUACGGUAGGCAGCAGUGGGGAAUAUUGCACACUGGGCAGAAGCCUGAUGCAGCAACGCCGCGUGCGGGAUGACGGCCUUCGGGUUGUAAACCGCUUUCGCCUGUGACGAAGCGUGAGUGACGGUAAUGGGUAAAGAAGCACCGGCUAACUACGUG